GCGUGGCUCAGUAUCAGAGCAUCUGCUUGGAAUGUAGAAGGUCUCUGGUUCAAUCCUUGGCAUCUACA